rnacentral:rRNA from 1 species
GACGAACGCUGGCGGCGUGCUUAAUACAUGCAAGUCGAGCGAGGUUACUGUUUUGGAUCCCUUCGGGGUGAAGAAGCUUUAACCUAGCGGCGGACGGGUGAGUAACGCGUGGGUAACCUACCCCAAAGUCCGGGAUAACAGCGGGAAACCGCUGCUAAUACCGGAUGCCUUUACCUUGGGGCAUCUUGAGGUAAAGAAAGGUAACGCUUUGGGAUGGGCCCGCGUCCCAUUAGCUAGUUGGUGAGGUAACGGCUCACCAAGGCGACGAUGGGUAGCCGGCCUGAGAGGGUGGACGGCCACACUGGGACUGAGACACGGCCCAGACUCCUACGGGAGGCAGCAGUAGGGAAUAUUGCGCAAUGGACGGAAGUCUGACGCAGCGACGCCGCGUGAGCGAUGAGGGUCUUCGGAUCGUAAAAGCUCUGUCCUUGGGGAAGAAGGCGAAAGCUUGACGGUACCCAAGAAGAAAGCCCCGGCUAACUACGUG